rnacentral:rRNA from 1 species
AAACAUGUCUUUUUGCUUAUAAUAUAAAGUYUGACCUGCCCUAUGAAUAAGUUAAWUUUAAAWGGCUGCGGUACUCUGACCGUGCAAAGGUAGCAUAAUAAUUAGUUUUUUAAUUGGGAACUGGUAUGAAAGGUCGAACGAGAAAAAGACUGUCUCAAUUUAAUUUAAAUUAGAAUUUUAUCUUUAAGUAAAAAAGCUUAAAUAUUUUUAAAAGACGAGAAGACCCUAUAGAGUUUUAUAUAAUUUAGUAUUUUUGAAAGUUAAAGAAUUUUAGAUUCGAUUAUAUUAAAUUAUAUUUGGUUGGGGCAAUUAAAAAAUUAAAGUAAUUUUUUUUAAAUUAUACCAUUGAUAUAUGAUUAAGUGAUCCAUAUUUUAUGAUUAAAAGAUUAAAUUACCUUAGGGAUAACAGCGUAANUUUUUUUUAGAGUUCUUAUCGAAAAAAGAGUUUGCGACCYCGAUGUUGGAUUAAAAUUUACUUUUGGCGCASCMMCUAARAGGAUUAGGYCUGUYCGACCUUUMAAAUUUUMCAKGA